UACGUAGGCAGCGAGCGUUGUUCGGAGUUACUGGGCGUAAAGCGUGCGUAGGCGGUGUCUUAAGUUUGUUGUGAAAUCUCCCGGCUUAACCGGGAGGGUGCGGCGAAUACUGAGAUGCUGGAGUGCCGGAGAGGUAAGCGGAAUUCCUGGUGUAGCGGUGAAAUGCGUAGAGCUCGGGAAGAACAUCGGUGGCGAAAGCGCUCUGCUGGACUGCAACUGACACUCAGGGACGAAAGCUAGGGGAGCGAAUGGG
rnacentral:rRNA from 1 species